GUGUGUGUGUGUGUGUGUACUGCUCUUUUUUCCCUUUUAAAUUCAUUGUCAUUCAGUUCAGAGAAGUUCCAACUGGCUGGAGACAUACAUUUCAAUUUGUUGUUGCUGUUCCUCUUGUGCACCACUUGGAUUUUCGUAGGAAUUGAAAAUGCCAGCGCCCAAAAUGACGUCCGAACUCGACGAAAGUUUAGACAAAAGCAACAUAAAGUGUGUUCUGGUCGGAGACAGUGCCAUUGGCAAGUCAUGUUUAGCAGCCAGAAUUACAAAUAAUACUUUCCACACGGAGUAUCUACCUACAUUAUUUGAUAACUACGCUGGUAACGUUUUUGUCCG